ACCCCAUGGAGCUUUAAACCCAACAGCACCUAUUCUUUUUAAAUCCACUUAUUCUUAUAGUAAGUGCUUGCUUGGUUUUAGGUUGGGGUGACCGCGGAGUAAAAAUGAGCCUCCACGAAAAAAGGCAUAAAAGCCUUAUCAAAGAAUCACACUUCUAUGAAUUAGUAAACUAAUUUUUGAUGAUCCGAUAUUCGAUCAACGAACCAAGUUACCCUGGGGAUAACAGCGCAAUCCACCUCAAGAGCUCCUAUCGACAAGUGGGUUUACGACCUCGAUGUUGGAUCAGGGUACCCCAGUGGUGCAGCAGCUACUAAAGGUUCGUUUGUUCAACGAUUAAAACCCU
rnacentral:rRNA from 1 species